AUAAUGAACGCUGGCGGCAUGGAUUAGGCAUGCAAGUCGAACGGGGCGCCCUCGGGCGCCUAGUGGCGAAAGGGUGAGUAGCACGUGAGCAACCUGCCCCCGAGUCCGGAAUAAGCGGUGGAAACGCCGUCCAAUGCCGGAUGCGGAGCCGGGCCUCCUGGCCCCUGCUCCAAAGAUUCAUCGCUCGGGGAUGGGCUCGCGCCCCAUUAGCUUGUUGGCGGGGUAACGGCCCACCAAGGCUCCGACGGGUAGGUGGACUGAGAGGUUGGUCACCCACACUGGGACUGAGACACGGCCCAGACUCCUACGGGAGGCUGCAGUCGAGAAUCUUCCGCAAUGGGCGAAAGCCUGACGGAGCGAUGCCGCGUGAGGGAAGAAGGCCUUCGGGUUGUAAACCUCUGUCACCCGGGACGAAUCAAUGACGGUACCGGGAGAGGAAGUCACGGCUAACUACGUGCCAGCAGCCGCGGUAACACGUAGGUGGCGAGCGUUAUUCGGAUUCACUGGGCGUAAAGGGUCCGCAGGGGGCCUGCCAAGCCUGUCGUGAAAACCCGGGGCUCAACCCCGGGCCUGCGGUGGGUACUGGCGGGCUGGAGUGCGCGAUGGGCGGACGGAACACCUGGUGUAGCGGUGGAAUGCGUGGAUAUCAGGUGGAACACCGAUGGCGAAGGCGGUCCGCUGGCGCGUCACUGACCCUCAUGGACGAAAGCGUGGGUAGCGAACAGG
rnacentral:rRNA from 1 species